GCACAGAGAGCUGCUCUCGGGUGACGAGUGGCGGACGGGUGAGUAAUGUCUGGGAAACUGCCUGAUGGAGGGGGAUAACUACUGGAAACGGUAGCUAAUACCGCAUAACGUCGCAAGACCAAAGAGGGGGACCUUCGGGCCUCUUGCCAUCAGAUGUGCCCAGAUGGAAUUAGCUAGUAGGUGGGGUAACGGCUCACCUAGGCGACGAUCCCUAGCUGGUCUGAGAGGAUGACCAGCCACACUGGAACUGAGACACGGUCCAGACUCCUACGGGAGGCAGCAGUGGGGAAUAUUGCACAAUGGGCGCAAGCCUGAUGCAGCCAUGCCGCGUGUAUGAAGAAGGCCUUCGGGUUGUAAAGUACUUUCAGCGGGGAGGAAGGUGUUGUGGUUAAUAACCGCAGCAAUUGACGUUACCCGCAGAAGAAGCACCGGCUAACUCCGUGCCAGCAGCCGCGGUAAUACGGAGGGUGCAAGCGUUAAUCGGAAUUACUGGGCGUAAAGCGCACGCAGGCGGUCUGUCAAGUCGGAUGUGAAAUCCCCGGGCUCAACCUGGGAACUGCAUUCGAAACUGGCAGGCUAGAGUCUUGUAGAGGGGGGUAGAAUUCCAGGUGUAGCGGUGAAAUGCGUAGAGAUCUGGAGGAUACCGGUGGCGAAGGCGGCCCCCUGGACAAAGACUGA
rnacentral:rRNA from 1 species